rnacentral:snRNA from 1 species
AAAUACAGAUCUGGCUGUGACAUCUGUCACCCCAUUGAAUGCCAGGGUUGAUUCAGUUGGUCUGGCUGGCUAGGCAGGUGUCCCCUUCCUCCCUCACCACUCCAUGUACAUAUCUCCUGAAGCUGCGCGCUCAGUUGAAGAGGACAGCCUUCCCCGAAUAGAGACGGACCGGUCUUCGGUUGAGGGUAUAUGAGUACCUGUGCUCCUCUGAUAGAACCUCCAAACAAGCUUUCAUAUAUAUACAUACAUAUAUAUGGGGGCUGGAGCUAUAGCACAGUGGGUAGGGCGUUUGCCUUGCACGCGGCCAACCUGGGUUCGAUC